UUGACCUCAAAUCAGGUAGGACUACCCGCUGAACUUAAGCAUAUCAAUAAGCGGAGGAAAAGAAACUAACAAGGAUUCCCCUAGUAACUGCGAGUGAAGCGGGAAAAGCUCAAAUUUAAAAUCUGGUGGUCUUUGGCCAUCCGAGUUGUAAUCUAGAGAAGUGUUAUCCGCGCUGGACCGUGUACAAGUCUCCUGGAAUGGAGCGUCAUAGAGGGUGAGAAUCCCGUCUUUGACACGGACUGCCAGGGCUUUGUGAUGCGCUCUCAAAGAGUCGAGUUGUUUGGGAAUGCAGCUCAAAAUGGGUGGUAAAUUCCAUCUAAAGCUAAAUAUUGGCGAGAGACCGAUAGCGAACAAGUACCGUGAGGGAAAGAUGAAAAGAACUUUGGAAAGAGAGUUAAACAGUACGUGAAAUUGCUGAAAGGGAAACGCUUGAAGUCAGYCGCGUUGUCCGGGAAUCAACCUUGCUUUUGCUGGGCGUACUUCCCGGUUGACGGGUCAGCAUCAAUUUUGACCGUUGGAUAAAGUCUAGGGGAAUGUGGCAUCUUCGGAUGUGUUAUAGCCCUUGGUCGCAUACAACGAUUGGGAUUGAGGAACUCAGCACGCCGCAAGGCCGGGUAUUCGUACCACGUUCGUGCUUAGGAUGCUGGCAUAAUGGCUUUAAUCGACCCGUC
rnacentral:rRNA from 2 species